UACGUAGGGUGCGAGCGUUGUCCGGAAUUAUUGGGCGUAAAGGGCUCGUAGGCGGUUUGUCGCGUCGGGAGUGAAAACCCAGGGCUUAACCCUGGGCCUGCUUCCGAUACGGGCAGACUAGAGGUAUGCAGGGGAGAACGGAAUUCCUGGUGUAGCGGUGAAAUGCGCAGAGUAUCAGGAGGAACACCGGUGGCGAAGGCGGUUCUCUGGGCAUUACCUGACGCUGAGGAGCGAAAGUGUGGGGAGCGAACAGG
rnacentral:rRNA from 1 species